CCAUCUAACAAGCCAACCAGCUAGGAUCUUUUUUAUUGAUGUCUAUCGAGCCUUACAAACGAGAUUUCUCAAUCUAAUUCCUGAAGCCAAAAAAAAAAAAAAGCCACCGGCACAAACCAGAGCAGCAGGCGGGCUGGAUCGAACGCUUUUUUUCUCUUAUAAAUGAAUCGUCCCAGCAAAGCAGACCUCGAAAGAGACCGGCAACAGUACAGACGACAUGACAUUAUUUACAAGAUUUAUUGACGAGAUCCCACCCACAGAAAGAAGUGAACCGAAUGCCUUGUGUUAUGAGCCGCUCACUUCUAAUAUUGAAUAGAAUCGACGAAUAUAUGCGUAGUAGAGUUGAUGCGAAGGUGGCCUGAAGGUUUUCCUCAUAGGAUUCCAACCUAAAUCACAAAACAAGGGCUCUCUUCCCCGGGAAAGGGAGGCGCUAUUAACA
rnacentral:lncRNA from 1 species